UCGAGAAUUUUUCACAAUGGGCGAAAGCCUGAUGGAGCGACGCCGCGUGGGGGAUGAAUGGCUUCGGCCCGUAAACCCCUGUCAUUUGCGAACAAACCUUAUAUUCUAACAAAAUAUGAGCUGAUUGUAGCGAAAGAGGAAGAGACGGCUAACUCUGUGCCAGCAGCCGCGGUAAUACAGAGGUCUCAAGCGUUGUUCGGAUUCACUGGGCGUAAAGGGUGCGUAGGUGGUAGGGUAAGUCGGGUGUGAAAUCUCCAAGCUUAACUUGGAAACUGCACUGGAUACUACCUUGCUUGAGGUUUUGAGGGGGGAUUGGAAUACUUGGUGUAGCAGUGAAAUGCGUAGAUAUCAAGUGGAACACCAGUGGCGAAGGCGAAUCCCUGGAAAACACCUGACACUG
rnacentral:rRNA from 1 species